CUCCGUUGCCAACAGGCAGCCAAAAAGCCAGCAGGGUUCUUUCAAAGGCUGUCUUUCCAUUAGGACUCCAAUGGCAUUGGCAAUGAAAGCACAAAUGAGGCGGUGCAGUGGGGCUGUUACAUCAUGUAGCUUUCUGAAAAUGCUGGUGGCUUCUCUCCAUUUACACCUCCUCCUCUUGCACAUGGUGAGAGGACGCUUCUGCUUCUUACAAAGUGGUCCCAUUUGCUUGGAAAACAUCAUGGGAUUCAAUCAGGAUUUAUAACAGCCAGAUUUCGUCAGGACUCAAUAAAGACACCAUUACCGUAUUUAACACUGAAGCACCUUUUGGAAAACUCAAGUUGGGAAAUGCUGCAAUUCAGCAACUUGAUGGCAAAGCAAGAGUUACUGUGGAAGUUACUGCUGGACUCAACGGGGGCAGAGAGGAGGGACCCAUAUCCAGUGAAGCCUUCCAAGAGUCUGUCUAAAAGGUAAGUACGAAACAGGCCAGUUAAAGAAGAGGAAGGCACAUCUACACAAAAAGCACAGAGCCAUAAAGGGGCUCAGGGGGUUUAAGGAACAGUCUG
rnacentral:lncRNA from 1 species